rnacentral:lncRNA from 1 species
GCCUGCCUACAAGAAAUCUCUGGUGCCCAUUUCAGACUUUAUUUUUUUCACUGACACUAACAAUGAAAAGGAAAUGGACUUAAUACUUGGGCUGCCUAAAGCAUUUGGUUUGAAUGACUCAUCUAUUGCAUUCAGUCUCUCCAUCCUGCAACACCUAUUUGCCAAUUGCUAAUUAGCUGGCAUUGAAUUUUCCAAAUAGUACUGAAUACUUUUUCUGUGAUAAAUUUGUUUAAAGAAACACAUCUGACACCCCUUGGAGAGAAAGUGGAGUUGAUGUAUUUUACAAGGAGGGACACAUUUUCUUUAAGCAUACAGCAAGAUGUCUGAUUGCAGAAGGUUUAACCAGAAGGACAGAAAGGCACAGAGAGACUCAUGGAUUUUGGAGGAGGACUCUCAGGUGGGAUGAAGAGAAGGUCACUGACUCCACCUUAUGCUUAGACGGGAGGAAAGAAAAGCCUGCUGUUUGUCCUGGCUUGCAAAGUUGCUUCUGGACAGCUCUGUGCUGCGUGGGCAGUGUUACACAGUCAACGGGCUUUCCACCAGGAAGGUCAAGUUUGAAUGGGGCAGGUAAACUGAAGAGCUCCCAUGUUUCCUUUAAAAACUCUUUCCUGGUCAGAUUUAAGGCUCAGGGUGGACUCUACCAAUACUGACUGUCCCCUUUCUGUCCUGGGAAUAUAUGAGGUGGCUGGCACCCAUGCAGUACUGCACAUAUGUACGUGUAUGUAUGCAUAAAUGCACCUUCCUUGAACAACUGUCAAAAGAAGACGCCAUGCUUCCUUCCAAUUUCUGCUGGGCAUUUUAUUGGGAGGGCCUGUUCAGAUGAAGUUCUGAUCUGGAAGUGAUGUCUUAAGCCAUAUCUUCUGUAGAGGAGAACACGCAGGGAGAAAAUGGGUAAGUUUAACUUCUGUUGAAGGAAGGACAAAAGAAACAAAAUGGUAAUACUGGUAUUUACCAAGGGAAUUCAGCUUGCUUUGCAAAGAAGACAAAGAUACAUUUUUUUCUUUUUUUUUCUUCCUUUUUUUUUUUUUUUUCUUAUAUCCUAAGUAUUUCCUUCCUUUCAAAGAAAAAGUAAAUUUGCCCAGAAAGCAACCCAC